GGCCGCGUAGCUCAGUUGGCAGAGCAUUGGGCUAGUAUUCCAAAGGUCGUAGGUUCGAUUCCCACCGUGGUCA